AUUGAACGCUGGCGGCAGGCCUAACACAUGCAAGUCGAACGGUAACAGGAAGCUGCUUGCUGCUUUGCUGACGAGUGGCGGACGGGUGAGUAAUGUCUGGGAAACUGCCCGAUGGAGGGGGAUCACUACUGGAAACGGUAGCUCAUACCGCAUAACGACGCCAGAUCAAAGAGGGGGCCCUUAGGGCCUCUUGUCAUCGGGUGUGCCCCGAUGGGAUUAGCUAGUAGGUGGGGUAACGGCUCAGCUAGGCGACCAUCCUUAGGUGGUCUGACAGCAAGACUAGCCAGACUGGAACUGAGACAGGUCCGAGACUCUGACGGUGAGCCGCAGUGGGGAAUAUUGCGCAAGGGGCGCGAGCCGGAUGCAGCCAUGCGGGGUGUAGGAAGAAGGCCUUCGGCUGGGAAAAUACUUUCGGCGGGGGGGAAGGGAGUAAAUUUAACACCUUAGCACAUUGACGUUACCCGCAGAAGAAGCACCGGCUAACUCCGUG
rnacentral:rRNA from 1 species